rnacentral:sRNA from 1 species
GCACUCUUUAAUGAAGAAACAACAGAGCUGUUAAACACAUUGAGACACAGAAGAUUCUAGUGACCGAGGAUGGCUUCCUCUUGGAAACUAAUGCUGUUUCUGUCAGUCACCAUGUGUCUUUCAGCAUUACUGUCUUCGCUGCUGAUCUCAGUUGUUUCUCUUUUAUCUUCUCAAUGUCAUUUUCCUCUUGAACUUAUAAGCCAACUGAUGGAGAUGGAGGUAGGGUUGCAAGAUGAAAUAAAGGAC